GACGAACGCUGGCGGCGUGCCUAAUACAUGCAAGUCGAACGCAGUGGGGACGGGUUGGUAACACGUGGGUAACCUGCCCAUCAGAGGGGAUAACACUUCUAAACAGGUGCUAUACCGGUACUGAUGGAUGGUCCCUCGGUGCAUUAGCUAGUUGGGGAGGUAACGGCUCACAAAGGCCACGAGGCAUAGCCGACCUGAGAGGGUGAUCGGCCACACUGGGACUGAGACACGGCCCAGACUCCUACGGGAGGCAGCAGUAGGGAAUCUUCGGCAAUGGACGAAAGUCUGACCGAGCCACGCCGCGUGAGUGAAGAAGGUUUUCGGAUCGUAAAGUUCUGUUGGUCGAGAAGCGGUAUCUAACGAGAAAGCAACGGCUAACUACGUGCCAGCAGCCGCGGUAAUAC
rnacentral:rRNA from 1 species